rnacentral:rRNA from 1 species
UACGUAGGGCGCAAGCGUUGUCCGGAAUUAUUGGGCGUAAAGAGCUCGUAGGCGGCUUGUUGCGUCGGUUGUGAAAGCCCGGGGCUUAACCCCGGGUCUGCAGUCGAUACGGGCAGGCUAGAGUGUGGUAGGGGAGAUCGGAAUUCCUGGUGUAGCGGUGAAAUGCGCAGAUAUCAGGAGGAACACCGGUGGCGAAGGCGGAUCUCUGGGCCAUUACUGACGCUGAGGAGCGAAGGCGUGGGGAGCGAACAGG